rnacentral:rRNA from 1 species
AGUGAACGCUGGCGGUAGGCCUAACACAUGCCAGUCGAACGGCAGCACAGUAAGAGCUUGCUCUUACUGGUGGCGAGUGGCGGACGGGUGAGGAAUACAUCGGAAUCUACUUUUUCGUGGGGGAUAACGUAGGGACACUUACGCUAAUACCGCAUACGACCUACGGGUGAAAGCAGGGGAUCUUCGGACCUUGCGCGAUUGAAUGAGCCGAUGUCGGAUUAGCUAGUUGGCGGGGUAAAGGCCCACCAAGGCGACGAUCCGUAGCUGGUCUGAGAGGAUGAUCAGCCACACUGGAACUGAGACACGGUCCAGACUCCUACGGGAGGCAGCAGUGGGGAAUAUUGGACAAUGGGCGCAGGCCUGAUCCAGCCAUACCGCGUGGGUGAAGAAGGCCUUCGGGUUGUAAAGCCCUUUUGUUGGGAAAGAAAAGCAGCAGGCUAAUACCCCGCUGUUCUGACGGUACCCAAAGAAUAAGCACCGGCUAACUUCGUG